AGACUAGUAGCGGAGUGGUCAAACGCGCGAGAUUUAAGCCUUCGGGUUCGUGGGUUCGAACCCCACCUAGUCUA